GGCCAAUCUGUUCACCCGAGUGAUGACCUUCCAGGUUAUGGAUAUGGUUGAUUCAGAGCUGGAUAGACAUCAAAGAUCUUCUGAUGUAUCCAGGAUGUUGUCGACAGCUGAAGAUAAUAUUAGUGCUGGUCACUACGAUGAUCUGUUCUCUGGAUUGAUCCAGAGGUUCAUUGCAGAAUUCAGUUAUUCUGACUCUAUUUUCUCGGAUGAAGUGGAUGACGUCAGCGACACAGCAUUUUCUACCAGGAGCCAAAGCACCCGAUCUGGCACUGCCUCACAAAAACUUGAAAACAUGUUAGGUCUGUUCACCAGGGUGAUGAUUAGCCAAGUAAUGGAUGUCCUCCGCAUUGAAUCAGGAGUCGAACUGGACAGAGAUAUGAUAAGAACACGAAGUCCCUCCUCUGUAGGCUCUGUGCUCGGUACAGACAGCAGCGACUAUGGCUGUUUUGUCACUGUUCUGAUGCUAAGGCUGUUAGCCAAAAUCAAGGAUCAACCAAAUGCCUCUGCUGAUAUGAUGUAUUCCUCCCGAGAGUUGAUUGAGAAAGUCCUGUCCGAGUUCAGUAGUGCCUCAGGAACUCCAAACUUCCAGACUUAUCCAAGCACCUUAAAGAUUCAGGCAACAUCCAGAACCAUGGACAAGUUCCUUCUGAAGGAAUUUGGACCCGAAACUGUCCUGCAGAGAGCUGUGGAGACACAGGAUGUCUCUUUUGAUAGAACCUUGCUGACGGCCUUGAGAAAGGAACUGCUGCAGCAGUGUGAUACAGAAGCUACUGCUGCCCCAUCAGCCCAAGCUGCUCCACCCUCCCCUCAGCCAGUGCCUGUUGCAGAUGAGGGGCGAACCAGCAGGACUAAACUGAAGAUGCCCAAAAAGAGGUUCAACAUAAAGAUGCCAAAAAGAGUCAACAGGAAAGUGUCUCCCGCCAAUUCCUUUCCCGGCAUAACUGAUCAGCAUUCAGAGACACCUGCCCCUCACACUCCAUCUGAUGAGACGGUUCCUGCCAUGUCUACAUCUGGACAGAAGACACGCAAACGAUCCUUUUUCCUCAGGAUUUUCGCAUGCUGCACUUUUGGCACAUCUGAAGCUUAGGCCAUGAUUUUUCUUAAAAAUGUAUCUUCCCAUUUUUUGCCCAAUUGUCACCCACAUUUCCCAAUCAAAGAUAUUAAUAAAUUCAUUACAUUACAUUCA
rnacentral:lncRNA from 1 species